rnacentral:rRNA from 1 species
ACUCCUACGGGAGGCAGCAGUGGGGAAUAUUGCACAAUGGGCGCAAGCCUGAUGCAGCCAUGCCGCGUGUGUGAAGAAGGCCUUCGGGUUGUAAAAGCACUUUCAGUCGUGAGGAAGGUAGUGAGUUAAAUAGCUGCAUUAUUUGACGUUAGCGACAGAAGAAGCACCGGCUAACUCCGUGCCAGCAGCCGCGGUAAUACGGAGGGUGCGAGCGUUAAUCGGAAAUUACUGGGCGUAAAAGCGCAUGCAGGUGGUUUGUUAAAGUC